UUUAGUAAUUGCGAAUGAACAAGGAUAUGCUUAGCUUGACAAAUGGAGCUAUUGGCUUUGAAUUGUAUUGUGGAAAUGUAUUACCAACAGAGGUGCAGGUGCCAGCCUAUUGAAAUAAAGCGUCAAUGAGGGUGAGAAUCCUGUUUGUCAUGUGCAGCCCUUUGUGCACGGUGUAUAUUUGCUGAGUCACACUCCUUGGCAUUGGAAUGCAAAGUGGGUGGUAAGUUUCAUGUAAAGGUAAACAUGCAAUUGAGACUGAUAGCACACAAGUACCAUGAGGGAAAUAUGAAAAGGACUUUGAAAAGAGAAUUAAAUGAGUUUGUAUUUGCUGAACACAAAGUAAACAGACUUGAUUUGCUUGGUGGGAGUGUUGCACUUGCUUGACAAGAGCUUUGGGCUGUGGGUGUAAUGAUUCUUUCUUUGCAUGCCAGUUUCUAUUUGUACAUCUGAUUACCUUUGCACAUGAAUGAUAAGUCUCCUGUGGGGGGUGGAUUGCAUGUGCAUGUAAUGAUUUGUGUUUUGAUAAAUGUGUCUGGUGUAUGUGUGUGUUCCUGUGCUUGGGGAUGCUUCCUUCCUUGGACUUACAAGCCCUGACACACACAUGCUGGCAAAAUGCUUCUGCUUGACCCGUCUUGAAACACGGACCAAGGAGUCUAACAGAUGUGCAAAGUUUGAAGGUGGUAUACCUUUGUGUGCAAUGAAAGUGUCAGCUGGGAUAUGUGCACCAGCACCCAAUUAAUUAGCGGACAGAGGUUUGAGUUGGAGCAUAUCUAUUAGGACCCGAAAGAUGGUGAACUAUGCCUGAACAGAAUGAAUUCAGAGGAAACUCUGAUGGAGGUUCGUAUCGAUACUGACGUGCAAAUCGUUCGUCAUAUUUGGGUAUAGGGGCGAAAGACUAAUCGAACCAUCUAGUAGCUGGUUCCCUCCGAAGUUUCCCUCAGGAUAGCUGGAGUUGCUCAGUUUUAUCAGGUAAAGCGAAUGAUUAGAGGAAUUGGGGACAGGUUUGUCUUUGACCUAUUCUCAAACUUUAAAUGGGUAAUAUGUAGUGGUUGCUGUAUGG
rnacentral:rRNA from 1 species